UACAGAGGUCUCAAGCGUUGUUCGGAUUCAUUGGGCGUAAAGGGUGCGUAGGUGGCGCUGUAAGUCGGGUGUGAAAUUUCGGAGCUUAACUCCGAAACUGCAUUCGAUACUGCGGUGCUUGAGGACUGGAGAGGAGACUGGAAUUCAUGGUGUAGCGGUGAAAUGCGCAGAUAUCAGGAGGAACACCGAUGGCGAAGGCAGGUCUCUGGGCAUUAACUGACGCUGAGGAGCGAAAGCAUGGGGAGCGAACAGG
rnacentral:rRNA from 1 species